rnacentral:rRNA from 1 species
AUUGAACGCUGGCGGCAGGCCUAACACAUGCAAGUCGAGCGGAUGACGGGAGCUUGCUCCUUGAUUCAGCGGCGGACGGGUGAGUAAUGCCUAGGAAUCUGCCCGGUAGUGGGGGACAACGUUUCGAAAGGAACGCUAAUACCGCAUACGUCCUACGGGAGAAAGCAGGGGACCUUCGGGCCUCGCGCUAUCAGAGCAGCCUAGGUCGGAUUAGCUAGUUGGUGGGGUAAUGGCCCACCAAGGCGACGAUCCGUAACUGGUCUGAGAGGAUGAUCAGUCACACUGGAACUGAGACACGGUCCAGACUCCUACGGGAGGCAGCAGUGGGGAAUAUUGGACAAUGGGCGAAAGCCUGAUCCAGCCAUGCCGCGUGUGUGAAGAAGGUCUUCGGAUUGUAAAGCACUUUAAGUUGGGAGGAAGGGCAGUAAGUUAAUACCUUGCUGUUUUGACGUUACCGACAGAAUAAGCACCGGCUAACUCUGUGCCAGCCGCCGCAGUAAGAC